UACGUAGGGUGCGAGCGUUGUCCGGAAUUAUUGGGCGUAAAGAGCUCGUAGGCGGUCUGUCGCGUCGGUCGUGAAAACUUGGGGCUUAACCCUGAGCUUGCGGUCGAUACGGGCAUGACUGGAGUUCGGCAGGGGAGACUGGAAUUCCUGGUGUAGCGGUGAAAUGCGCAGAUAUCAGGAGGAACACCGGUGACGAAGGCGGGUCUCUGGGCCGAUACUGACGCUGAGGAGCGAAAGCGUGGGGAGCGAACAGG
rnacentral:rRNA from 1 species